AACGAACGCUGGCGGCAUGCCUAACACAUGCAAGUCGAACGAGAUCCUUCGGGGUCUAGUGGCGCACGGGUGCGUAACGCGUGGGAAUCUGCCCUUAGGUUCGGAAUAACAGUUAGAAAUGACUGCUAAUACCGGAUGAUGACGUUAAGUCCAAAGAUUUAUCGCCUGAGGAUGAGCCCGCGUAGGAUUAGCUAGUUGGUGUGGUAAAGGCGCACCAAGGCGACGAUCCUUAGCUGGUUUGAGAGGAUGAUCAGCCACACUGGGACUGAGACACGGCCCAGACUCCUACGGGAGGCAGCAGUGGGGAAUAUUGGACAAUGGGCGCAAGCCUGAUCCAGCAAUGCCGCGUGAGUGAUGAAGGCCUUAGGGUUGUAAAGCUCUUUUACCCGAGAUGAUAAUGACAGUAUCGGGAGAAUAAGCCCCGGCUAACUCCGUG
rnacentral:rRNA from 1 species